UGAGGAAUUUUGGACAAUGGGGGAAACCCUGAUCCAGGGAUACCGUGUGGGUGAUGAAGGUCUACGGAUUGUAAAACCCUUUUAAUGGGGAAAAUAAUGAUGGUACCCAUAGAAUAAGCACCGGCUAACUCUGUGCCAGCAGCCGCGGUGAGACAGAGGGUGCGAGCGUUAUUCGGAAUUACUGGGCGUAAAGAGUGCGUAGGCGACUAGAUAAGUCGAUCGUGAAAUGUCGGGGCUUAACCCCGAAUCUGCGGUUGAAACUAUUUAGAUAGAGUUUGGGAGAGGGAGAUGGAACUCCUAGUGUAGAGGUAAAAUUCGUAGAUAUUAGGAAGAACACCAGAGGCGAAGGCGAUCUCCUAUUACAAAACUGACGCUGUGGCACGAAAGCGUGGGGAUCAAACAGG
rnacentral:rRNA from 1 species